rnacentral:rRNA from 1 species
AUUGAACGCUGGCGGCAUGCCUUACACAUGCAAGUCGAACGGCAGCACGGGAGCAAUCCUGGUGGCGAGUGGCGAACGGGUGAGUAAUAUAUCGGAACGUGCCCAGUCGUGGGGAUAACGUAGCGAAAGCUACGCUAAUACCGCAUACGAUCUAUGGAUGAAAGCGGGGGAUCGCAAGACCUCGCGCGAUUGGAGCGGCCGAUAUCAGAUUAGGUAGUUGGUGAGGUAAAGGCUCACCAAGCCGACGAUCUGUAGCUGGUCUGAGAGGACGACCAGCCACACUGGGACUGAGACAGGCCCAGACUCCUACGGGAGGCAGCAGUGGGGAAUUUUGGGACAAUGGGCGCAAGCCUGAUCCAGCAAUGCCGCGUGCAGGAUGAAGGCCUCGGUUGUAAC